GAUGAAGAACGUAGCGAAAUGCGAAAAGUAAUGUGAAUUGCAGAAUUCAGUGAACCAUCGAAUCUUUGAACGCACAUUGCGCCCGCUGGAACUCCGGCGGGCACGCCUGUCCGAGCGUCAUUUCAACCCUCAGGUCCCCCUUCGCGGGCGGGCCUGGUGUUGGGGCCCGGCCGCUACCCUGCGGCCGUCCCCUAAAUCCAGUGGCGGCCUCGCCGUGAUCCCUUGCGUAGUAAUGCACCUCGCACCGGAGAGCGCCGUGGCCACGCCGUAAAACCCCCAAUUUUCAAUGGUUGACCUCGGAUCAGGUGGGAAUACCCGCUGAACUUAAGCAUAUCAAUAAGCGGAGGA
rnacentral:misc_RNA from 1 species